GCCACCCUAGCUCAGUUGGUAGAGCAGCACUUUUGUAAAGUGACGGUCGUCGGUUCAAAUCCGUCGGGUGGCUCGA
rnacentral:tRNA from 1 species